UACAGAGGGUGCGAGUGUUGUUCGGAAUCAUUGGGCGUAAAGGGCGCGUAGGCGGCGAUUUAAGUCAGACGUGAAAGCCCUGAGCUUAACUCAGGAACUGCGUUUGAUACUGAAUUGCUUGAGUUCGGUAGAGGGUAGUGGAAUUCCCGGUGUAGAGGUGAAAUUCGUAGAUAUCGGGAGGAACACCAGUGGCGAAAGCGGCUACCUGGACCGAUACUGACGCUGAGGCGCGAAAGCGUGGGGAGCAAACAGG
rnacentral:rRNA from 1 species